AGAGUUUGAUCAUGGCUCAGGACAAACGCUGGCGGCGUGCAUAAAACAUGCAAGUCGAACGGACUUCAGUCCGCAAGGACUGAAGUGAGUGGCGAGCGGCUGAGUAACACGUAGGUGACCUGCCCCGAAGUUUGGGAUAACAACUCGAAAGAGUUGCUAAUACCGGAUGUGACCACCGAUUCAUUUCGGUGCUUAAAGUCGCAAGACGCUUUGGGAGGGGCCUGCGGCGGAUUAGCUAGUUGGUGUGGUAACGGCAUACCAAGGCUUCGAUCCGUAGCUGGUCUGAGAGGAUGGCCAGCCAGACUGGGACUGAGACACGGCCCAGACUCCUACGGGAGGCAGCAGUUAGGAAUUUUGCGCAAUGGAGGAAACUCUGACGCAGCCACGCCGCGUGGGGGAUGAAGGCCUUCGGGUCGUAAACCUCUUUUCUCAGGGAAGACACCCGACGGUACCUGAGGAAUAAGCAACGGCUAACUACGUGCCAGCAGCCGCGGUAAUACGUAGGUUGCGAGCGUUGUCCGGAUUUACUGGGCGUAAAGCGCGCGCAGGUGGUCCUGAAAGUCGAGCGUGAAAGCUCCCGGCCCAACUGGGAGAGGCCGUUCGAAACUUCAGGACUUGAAGGCGGGAGAGGCAAAUGGAAUUUCCGGUGUAGCGGUAAAAUGCGUAGAUACCGGAAGGAACACCAGUGGCGAAAGCGAUUUGCUGGCCCGCCCUUGACACUCAGGCGCGAAAGCUAGGGGAGCGACCGGGAUUAGAUACCCCGUUAGUCCUAGCCGUAAACAAUGGGCACUAGGUGUUGUCGGUAUCGACCCCGGCAGUGCCGUAGCUAACGCAUUAAGUGCCCCGCCUGGGGAGUACGACCGCAAGGUUUAAAACUCAAAGGAAUUGACGG
rnacentral:rRNA from 1 species